rnacentral:misc_RNA from 1 species
UAAACGUUUUCUAAUUUUAUAACGAUUAUUUGAAUUAUUCCACGAAUGUAAACAGUGAAAGUUUGCUAACAGCAUGGCGUAUACAUUGAUAGUGGCUUCAGUCAUAAUCGUUGAAGUUUUGUCGCAAGAAGUGCCAAAAAUACAACCAUUUAAUUUUCCAAAACAAGUUGUGCUUGGCCAGAAAGUCAGUACAAUAUGCACAGCAAUUUCUGGAAAUCCUCCUCUAGAAUUUUCUUGGCUUAAAGAUGGUCGUGAAAUUAAUGAUAUUGAUAAAAUUAGUAUCCAAUCUUAUACUACUAGAGAUUCUUCGGUCUUACUCAUAGAAAAAGUAGAGACCGAUUCUGCAGGAAAUUAUACGUGUGUGCUUACUACUUCGUCCGGGAUCGAUAGAUUUUCUGCAAGUUUAUUAGUAAGAGCGCCAACGAAAUGGGUUCAAGAACCUUCAGAUCAAGAUGUAGUUGUGGGAACUUCACUAAUGCUAGAAUGUGAAGCAACAGGAUUACCUCCUCCGAAUGUUUCUUGGAGGAAAUUGGACGGAGCAUUGUCUCUUGAGUCAGAAUCACAGACAGGGAAGAAUUUAUUAAAUAUUGAGAAUAUUCGAGACAUAGACGAAGGCCAAUAUAUCUGUGAGGCUAAAAAUGGAAUAGGAGAUCCACUAAAUAAAAUAAUAUCUAUUACCGUUCGUGACGUGAUAUGCACUGUUUAAGAAGAUAUUGUUCAACGACAUAACUAUUCGGAAAAAUGAUUUAUAAAGACAUAGUGAAAGUACUGAUGAUUACUUUCUUGUCAUCAGUUGGAACAGGGCAAAAAAUAAGACCAUUUAACUUUCCUAAAACGGUGACUUUAGGAGAAAGAGUUACCACGACUUGUGCCACAAAUAGUGGCGAUGAUUUAGUGUAUAAAUGGUAUAAAGACGGU